rnacentral:rRNA from 1 species
AACCCUAGUCAAUAGAUUCACGGCGUAAAACGUGUUUAAGGAAUAUUUUUAUAAAGUCAAACUUUAGCUACGCUGUAAAAAGCCACAGCUACUGUAAGCCCUAACGCGAAAGUAACUUUAAGACAUCUGAAUACACGACAGCUAAGGCCCAAACUGGGAUUAGAUACCCCACUAUGCUUAGCCCUAAACUUAAAGAGUCCUCCCAACAAGACUCUUCGCCAGAGUACUACUAGCCAAAGCUUAAAACUCAAGGGACUUGGCGGUGCUUCAUAUCCCUCUAGAGGAGCCUGUUCUAUAAUCGAUAAACCCCGAUCAACCUCACCAACCCUUGCCAACU